rnacentral:misc_RNA from 1 species
GAUGAAGAACGUAGCGAAAUGCGAUAAGUAAUGUGAAUUGCAGAAUUCAGUGAAUCAUCGAAUCUUUGAACGCUCAUUGCGACCGCCAGUAUUCUGGCGGGCAUGCCUGUUCGAGCGUCAUUUCAACCAUCAAGCCCCAGGCUUGUGUUGGGGACCUGCGGCUGCCGCAGGCCCUGAAAACCAGUGGCGGGCUCGCUGUCACACCGGGCGUAGUAGAUUUUAUCUCGCUCAGGGCGUGCUGCGGGUUCCGGCCGUUAAAAAGCCUUUUUUACCCAAGGUUGACCUCGGAUCAGGUAGGAAUACCCGCUGAACUUAAGCAUAUCAAUAAGCGGAGGA